rnacentral:tRNA from 1 species
CAUGGUUCAAAGGUUAGAACGUCAGAUCUGGGAUCUGAAGAUACAGGUUCGAAUCCUGUUGGUUAACCACCA